AAGUCGUAACAAGGUUUCCGUAGGUGAACCUGCGGAAGGAUCAUUAUCACGUUGCAAAACACUUAUCAACCUUGCGUGCACUCGGUUCCUUCAGAAUGAUUUAUGGGUUUGGGUGGUUUUGGGUUGUUUGUUGAAGUGGUUUGGAACACCCGCCAUCUUUGGUUUCACAGUCUUCUGACUGUUUGACCAGCCCUGUUCUGAAGAGCUGUUUUUUUGCGGUACCACCUCAGCCGCGUCUUGUUUCACCUUUUUUCCUUUUUAAACCCCUGUACGAUUAAUGAACUGAUUUGGUUCUUUUGUCUGGUCAUUCAGUUGAUCUAGCGAAAGAAUUCACUUACAAAAACAUCAAAACAACUCUUAACAACGGAUAUCUUGGUUCCCG
rnacentral:misc_RNA from 1 species